GGUUUCUUGAUAUUAAUAAGAAAUCUGACCUGCCCAAUGAGGUUUGAAUGGCCGCGGUAUUUUGACCGUGCGAAGGUAGCAUAAUCAUUAGUCUUUUAAUUGGAGGCUGGAAUGAAUGGUUGGACGAAAUAAUAACUGUUUUAGUUUUAGUUAUUGAAUUUUAUUUUUCAGUGAAGAGGCUGAAAUGAAGCCAAAAGACAAGAAGACCCUAUCAAGUUUUAUUAUAGAUUUAUUUUUUAUUAGAGGUAAGACUAGAAUGAAAGUUAAUUUUACUGGGGCGGUGAGUUAAAACAAGCUAUGAUCCAAAAUUUUUGAUUAAUUGUUUAAAUUACUGUAGGGAUAACAGCGUAAUCUUAUUUGAGAGUUCAUAUCGACAAUAAGGGUUGCGACCUCGAUGUUGGAUUAGAAUUCCUUUUUGGAGCAGAAUCUAAAAAUGGUGGUCUGUUCGACCAUUGAAAUUCCACA
rnacentral:rRNA from 1 species